AGCAGCCGCGGUAAUUCCAGCUCCAAUAGCGUAUAUUAAAGUUGUUGCAGUUAAAAAGCUCGUAGUUGAAUUUUGGGUUUGGCCGAUUGGUCCGUUCAUGUAACGAGUACUGGUCGGUUGGGCCUCACCGCUUGGUGAGGCGUAAUGCCCUUUAUUGGGUGUUGCGAGUAGCCAAGACUUUUACCUUGAAAAAAUUAGAGUGUUUAAAGCAGGCUUAUGCCGGAAUACAUUAGCAUGGAAUAAUAGAAUAGGACAAUGAUUCUAUUUUGUUGGUUUCUAGGACCAUUGUAAUGAUUAAUAGGGAUAGUUGGGGGCAUUAGUAUUCAAUUGUCAGAGGUGAAAUUCUUGGAUUUAUUGAAGACUAACUACUGCGAAAGCAUUUGCCAAGGAUGUUUUCAUUAAUCAAGAACGAAAGUUAGGGGAUCGAAGACGAUCAGAUACCGUCGUAGUCUUAACCAUAAACUAUGCCGACUAGGGAUCGGGCGAUGUUGUUUCAAUGACUCGCUCGGCACCUUAUGGG
rnacentral:rRNA from 1 species